UCUGAAGCCUCACUUAUGGGUAGACACACUGCAUAGGAACUUUCCCAAUUACCUGAGACUCCCACCAUCAGCUGUAAUGGGGCUGCCACCCUUGAAGUGUGGGCCUGGAUGAUGAUUCAGUAAUAAUUGUAGAGCAAAGCUUGCUCCUCAGGCAACAAAAAAGACUUGUUUUUCCCUGCUUCAGGAAUUAUCCAAGCCAGACCAUGUUAAAAUUGUGAGCUAUUGGUUUGAGCCUGCAUUCAGCAGUGAAGAAGGGGAAAUAUGGUAAUUGUAUAGCAGCUGAACUACAACUGAACAAUCCAAUGUGACUCCAGAUCUGCUAAAUCGUUGCCCCAAACAAACCACCCUCCAUGCGCAGUGGCAGAACAUCUGAGGAGAUAGCAGAGACUUGGCUGAGAAAUAGGAAGACAUGAGACCACAGAGACAAAGGACACUGUUCACACUGCCGCAGCUGUUGUCCAAUCCACAUUCAUCCAUUCCUGGAAAAGUUUUUGCUCUUGCUUUCCUUGCCAGAACACAGCUGCUGCUGACUAAUGAGUCAUGCUCAGAAUAAGCACAUUUUGCGGCAAGUAAACCACAGACACUAUGCUUCCCCCAUGACUAUUGAUGGGGAAUGUAACUGAAAUAUAAGUUCUCUUUAAAUAGCCCUAUGAUAGCUUAAAAUAUAUUUUAUUUCGAUAAACAGGUGGGGGGCUUAUGGAGCACUAUGCAUUAUACACCUACCUUUAUAUGAAUGGUGCAAAAUAGGGUGGGUCUUACAGAUCAUGUCUGAGUAAUAAUUUUUAUGGGUUAAAGCGGAUUUCUAAUUUUUCAGUGUAAAAGUUUACAAAGGUAUAUGAAAAAUGCAUUUUCCUUUCACAUGUAGCAGGAUGGCAAGCACAAAUGCAACCCAAACUGAAAUUAUUCUGAAAUCCUAUGAUCUUGUUAACGCUUAGGUAAUUUCUCAAUGAAUUAUUUACAAAUCUCUGCUCCUUAGACGUGCUCACCACUGCCUACUGAAUACAUGAUCCAGGUUAUUUCACCUUCCUUUUGCAUUAUCAUGCACUUCCCACGGUCUUGCCAGUCUUAUUUCUUACUUCAUUUCUUCUGUUUUAUCUUAUUCAUUCCAGGGCAUACAACUCAACUUAAGAAUUUAAUUAUAUUUUAGCAGGUAAAGUUUAAAAGUUUUGAGUCAGAUGCAACACUGGAUGAUUUUUACAUCACCUAGUAUAAUAUAAUAUACCAGUUUAUACUUUAUAUUAAUAUACAGUUCUCUUUAUUAGAUGAAUGCACGGUUUGCCUCCUCCUCAGAUGACACAACUAUUUAAAUCCUGUAUUAACUAGGAUUUAAACAAACUUAUCAGCUUUAUGAUAGCUUGCUUUAUGGUUGAAGGGGGUUCAGUUGGCCAGUUGUCAUUCAUCACAGUGAAAUAGCACUGAUAUUUACUGAUUAUUGAACCUUCAACAAGCUGGAUACACAGUAUUUCCUUACCAGCUGACACUGUAUUUAGUUGCUAGCACAUUUGUAUUCUGAAACUAAUGUUAUGAGGCUAUUUGGUUUUAUAUUCCUGGAAGUGUAUAUUACCAUAAAAUGCAAGUACUGACUGGCCAUGAAUUGUUCAUUUCUUAAUGGUUUAAAAUCAUCGUCAAAGUUGUUCGACUGAAAUUAUUUCACUUUUUUUAGCCCCUGAUGUUCAAAAUGUAUGAUAUUAUUUAGUUACAAGAACUGAACUCCUUAUUAAAUAUUUUAUAUUA